rnacentral:rRNA from 1 species
GAUGAACGCUGGCGGCGUGCCUAAUACAUGCAAGUCGAGCGAACAGACGAGGAGCUUGCUCCUCUGACGUUAGCGGCGGACGGGUGAGUAACACGUGGAUAACCUACCUAUAAGACUGGGAUAACUUCGGGAAACCGGAGCUAAUACCGGAUAAUAUAUUGAACCGCAUGGUUCAAUAGUUAAAGACGGUUUUGCUGUCACUUAUAGAUGGAUCCGCGCCGCGUUAGCUAGUUGGUAAGGUAACGGCUUAACAAGGCAACGAUGCGUAGCCGACCUGAGAGGGUGAUCGGCCACACUGGAACUGAGACACGGUCCAGACUCCUACGGGAGGCAGCAGUAGGGAAUCUUCCGCAAUGGGCGAAAGCCUGACGGAGCAACGCCGCGUGAGUGAUGAAGGUCUUCGGAUCGUAAAACUCUGUUAUUAGGGAAGAACAAAUGUGUAAGUAACUAUGCACGUCUUGACGGUACCUAAUCAGAAAGCCACGGCUAACUACGUG